rnacentral:rRNA from 1 species
AUUGAACGCUGGCGGCAGGCCUAACACAUGCAAGUCGAGCGGGGUUUUCGGACCUAGCGGCGGACGGGUGAGUAAUGCGUAGGAAGCUGCCCGAUAGAGGGGGAUACCAGUUGGAAACGACUGUUAAUACCGCAUAAUGUCUACGGACCAAAGUGUGGGACCUUCGGGCCACAUGCUAUCGGAUGCGCCUACGUGGGAUUAGCUAGUUGGUGAGGUAAUGGCUCACCAAGGCGACGAUCUCUAGCUGGUUUGAGAGGAUGAUCAGCCACACUGGAACUGAGAAACGGUCCAGACUCCUACGGGAGGCAGCAGUGGGGAAUAUUGGACAGUGGGCGCAAGCCUGAUCCAGCCAUGCCGCGUGUGUGAAGAAGGCCUUCGGGUUGUAAAGCACUUUCAGCGAGGAGGAAGGGAUGUAUGUAAAUAGCAUGCAUUUUUGACGUUACUCGCAGAAGAAGCACCGGCUAACUCUGUGCCAGCCGCCGCGGUAACAC